CAGAGCGCUCUGAUAUCUGCAGAGGCAGACAUCCUUCAUGCACAGCUGAAUGGGUGGUUGCAACAAAAUUAAGAUUGGAUAGGACAGGUGACCAAAAACUGGUCAAGAGACAUGCCUGAGAGACUACAAUUGUUUCAAAGCUGGAUAUGGACUGGGAUACAAGCAGAGGCAGCAGACAAAUGAUAAUCAAAGUGAACCAUUCAGCAUCCUGAUGAAGUUGAAAAUUAGGACUGUUUACAUAAGUCAGAACUUAUUUGCAUUUCCUGACAUUUCAGGUCUCUUUAUCCCUCGAUUGAGCAUUUCUUAUAUAACAGAUUAAUGUAUUGAAUAAAAAGAUAACAAAAAAGCAAAGCA